GACGAACGCUGGCGGCACGCCUAACACAUGCAAGUCGAGCGGAGAUUGAGAGCUUGCUCUCAUGAUCAGUGGCGGACGGGUGAGUAACACGUGAGCAACCUGCCUUUCAGAGGGGGACAACAGUUGGAAACGACUGCUAAUACCGCAUAACAUCGUUGAAUGGCAUCGUUUGACGAUCAAAGGAGCAAUCCGCUGAAAGAUGGGCUCGCGUCUGAUUAGAUAGUUGGUGAGGUAACGGCCCACCAAGUCGACGAUCAGUAGCCGGACUGAGAGGUUGAUCGGCCACAUUGGGACUGAGACACGGCCCAGACUCCUACGGGAGGCAGCAGUGGGGGAUAUUGGACAAUGGGGAAACCCUGAUCCAGCGAUGCCGCGUGAGGGAAGAAGGUUUUCGGAUUGUAAACCUCUGUGGACAGCGACGAUAAUGACGGUAGCUGUUUAGAAAGCCACGGCUAACUACGUGCCAGCAGCCGAC
rnacentral:rRNA from 1 species